rnacentral:tRNA from 1 species
GCUGAAGUUCUAUUUAAACUAUUCCUUG